UCUACGGGUGGCUGCAGUGGGGAACAUUGGACAAUGGGCGAAAGCCUGAUCCAGCCAUGCCGCGUGUGUGAAGAAGGCCUUCGGGUUGUAAAGCACUUUCAGUGGGGAAGAAAGCCUUGGGGCUAAUACCCUCGAGGAAGGACAUCACCCACAGAAGAAGCACCGGCUAACUCCGUGCCAGCAGCCGCGGUAAUACGGAGGGUGCGAGCGUUAAUCGGAAUUACUGGGCGUAAAGCGCGCGUAGGCGGUCUGAUAAGCCGGUUGUGAAAGCCCCGGGCUCAACCUGGGAACGGCAUCCGGAACUGUCAGGCUAGAGUGCAGGAGAGGAAGGUAGAAUUCCCGGUGUAGCGGUGAAAUGCGUAGAGAUCGGGAGGAAUACCAGUGGCGAAGGCGGCCUUCUGGACUGACACUGACGCUGAGGUGCGAAAGCGUGGGUAGCAAACAGGAUUAGAUACCCGGGUAGUC
rnacentral:rRNA from 1 species